rnacentral:lncRNA from 1 species
UAGUUGCUAGAAUGUUUUAGGAUAAACUUAGUAAGUGUCAAAGCAAAUGAAACAUAGUGUCUAAAACGAUCUUAAUGACAAAAUAUCGUAUUCUAUUUGUUAGCACAAAUUUGCAAUUAGGUUUUCAUGAUCAAACUAGUUAUAUAAAUUUUUCUCUAAAUACUUUGAAAAAGGAGUUUUGAGAAAGAAAAAAAACGUUUUGGUUUCUAUCUUUUAAAACAAGUGUUUGACAAAAAAUUAAAAAGAGGUUAAAAGUAAAAGAGAAGACCUGAUUAACAGAAAACAAGUGAAGAAGGAAGGCAUCAUCCGAUCAAAGUAAUCAUCCUUCACAAUCUGCAAAAAAAAAAAAAAAAUUAGAUUACAAGUUAAGACAUGUUGAGAUCUGUGUCAUGGUUAAAUAAUAUGAUAGUUAGAAAGAGCAAUUACCACGACUUGAUGAUUCGUAAGCAUUUUGUUGUGGACUAUAGAAGUCAUAUGGAGUCGGAUCCUGCAAAGUGAAAACAACUGUAGCAUUAUUAUAUAAUAUAUCAUAUAAUAAAGUGAAGGCUAAAAACUAAACUCACCUUGUGUGUUGAUGUCUUUUGCUUGACACGACGACCUGGUCAAAGCACUAGCUAGCUUCCUAUUCAAAAAAUGACCCCCGUGUUUCAGAAUUGGAUCUGAUAAAGUAAGAUGGUAGCAGAAAAAUUGAAUGGUCAGACAAAGAUAAGAAUAUACCCUGAAGCAAAGGGUCUCUAUGUGAGGGUUUGUGGCAGGCAAAGGGUCUCCUUCACAAGCACGUUGCCACUUUUUGAUGUAAGAUCAUCAGAAUACGGACUCAUGGAGCUUUUUUGUUUGAAACGUCACAGCCGGUUGAAUCUUUUUUCCUCCUUGCUGAUAUUAGAAAACAACAUUUAAGGGGCUUAUAUAUAAGUAAAGGGUUACCCAAUAUGAGAGGUUAUUCUCUUAUCUCAUCUUCGAAACGAUAACCAAAUAAAUCAAGUCAGAGACUACUUACUGACUUAUUAUACAGAGCAAGAAUAUUGCAAAAUCAGUUACAAAAAUGAAAAAAAUUGCAAAACCAUAAUAAAGAGCAACUAAGAAAUCUCUAAAUCAGACAAAUUAUGUGGCAAGACACACACUAACAUAGUGAAAGACCAACCCCAGUUUGUAAUAAUAACCGAAUUAAAAAAAAAAGUAGCAGUACCUGAAGGAGAGGUCGACGCCAAUGUUGUUUGGGUUGACAAAGUAGAGAAAUAAUGGAAUCGAGAGAGAGAGAGAGAGAGUCACGAUACGAUUUAUAGAGGAAGUAUAAAUGAAGGAGCUGGUGAUCCAAAGAAGAACAUUAACCCUCUAAGCAGAGGAGAAAAACAUCUUUUAUUUCUCAUCAAAGCUAUAUAUUGACAACGGCUAUUUUCUCAUUACAAGACAAAAAGAUU